UCUUUAUUCUGACAGUCUUUCUAAAAGGAAGAGCAGAAGAUCUGCAGUGAAAGAGUCUGUGAUCUCAGACACUUAUGCAGGUCUGGAUGUCCAGUGCGUGACCCCUGACCUGUACAACACACUCACAAGCGUUCACCACAGACCUGCUGAAAACUCCUGCUCCACUCUUGAUCCUCAGAGCUCUUCUGAACAUCACAAUCCACCAAUCAACAGGAGGAGGCUGCAGUGAGAGGCGGAGCCAGAAAUCACCAAUCCUGAGC